GCCACCUGCCAGCCCCAGCAGCCCCACAGUUUCAAGGAUGUUGAAAACUGAGGUCCACAGAACACCACAUAUUAAGUAAAAGAGCCUUUAAGAAGAGUCAAUAGGAUGACAUUCAUUUUCUUCCAGACACGUUGGCUGAGUUCAUGCAAACACAAAGG